rnacentral:lncRNA from 1 species
CCCACACAUGGCAUGCUAGUAUGAACAUUUAAAAAUGAUAAGCCAAUUUAUUGAGCGGACCAAAUCUGCAGAUCUAUAAAUAAGUAGAUACGAACUUAUUGCUUGGGGCCACCACUUUUUACCCUAAAGUUUUCAGCAAUUGCAAUAGCCAAAGAAACAACAUUCAACACACAAACACUCAAGGGCAAAAUCGUCCAGAACUAUAAUAUUGCGUAAAACUAAAAACGAGCACCACCACAAGUUUCAUGGAACUGCUAAGAACAGACUGUCUUCAUAGAGUCUUGCUGAAAAUUACUUCACGUAUCAUCACUCGUGGCCUUCUCUUUUGUGCGUGGUGCUCAUACAUCAUCAUAUCGACAUUGCCACAUGCCUUACGUGCCACUUUGAUGGCUGCGUCUCACCAUCUAGAGUUGGUAUAUAUUCUUGGUUUCUCCACCAGGCACUUGGAUUGGCUGAAAUAUUCAAUAACAGCCACGAUCAGAAAAAAAAUUUCAACAAUUUUCGACACAACUUUUCACCGACUUUCUUCUUCUUUUCAACCUCUUUUUGCACAAACUAAACACUAUUAUUACACAUCUAACAACUCUGAUACCAUUUGACGUAGAAGUACUUCGAUUUGUGCACAAAUCAGGCUUAGUUACAAUAAUACAAUCGAUCAAACACCAACAAAAGAUUGUUUGAAUCCACAACUAUAUUUUUUGAUUGCCCAUUUCCUUGCACCGACGAAGGACACAAAUCUGAUGUUUAAUUGCAGUGAUAAAGGAGGAAGAAUUUAUCAUUAAAU